GACGAACGCUGGCGGCGUGCCUAAUACAUGCAAGUCGAACGAACUCUGGUAUUGAUUGGUGCUUGCAUCAUGAUUUACAUUUGAGUGAGUGGCGAACUGGUGAGUAACACGUGGGAAACCUGCCCAGAAGCGGGGGAUAACACCUGGAAACAGAUGCUAAUACCGCAUAACAACUUGGACCGCAUGGUCCGAGUUUGAAAGAUGGCUUCGGCUAUCACUUUUGGAUGGUCCCGCGGCGUAUUAGCUAGAUGGUGGGGUAACGGCUCACCAUGGCAAUGAUACGUAGCCGACCUGAGAGGGUAAUCGGCCACAUUGGGACUGAGACACGGCCCAAACUCCUACGGGAGGCAGCAGUAGGGAAUCUUCCACAAUGGACGAAAGUCUGAUGGAGCAACGCCGCGUGAGUGAAGAAGGGUUUCGGCUCGUAAAACUCUGUUGUUAAAGAAGAACAUAUCUGAGAGUAACUGUUCAGGUAUUGACGGUAUUUAACCAGAAAGCCACGGCUAACUACGUGCCAGCAGCCGCGGUAAUACGUAGGUGGCAAGCGUUGUCCGGAUUUAUUGGGCGUAAAGCGAGCGCAGGCGGUUUUUUAAGUCUGAUGUGAAAGCCUUCGGCUCAACCGAAGAAGUGCAUCGGAAACUGGGAAACUUGAGCGCAGAAGAGGACAGUGGAACUCCAUGUGUAGCGGUGAAAUGCGUAGAUAUAUGGAAGAACACCAGUGGCGAAGGCGGCUGUCUGGUCUGUAACUGACGCUGAGGCUCGAAAGUAUGGGUAGCAAACAGGAUUAGAUACCCUGGUAGUCCAUACCGUAAACGAUGAAUGCUAAGUGUUGGAGGGUUUCCGCCCUUCAGUGCUGCAGCUAACGCAUUAAGCAUUCCGCCUGGGGAGUACGGCCGCAAGGCUGAAACUCAAAGGAAUUGACGGGGGCCCGCACAAGCGGUGGAGCAUGUGGUUUAAUUCGAAGCUACGCGAAGAACCUUACCAGGUCUUGACAUACUAUGCAAAUCUAAGAGAUUAGACGUUCCCUUCGGGGACAUGGAUACAGGUGGUGCAUGGUUGUCGUCAGCUCGUGUCGUGAGAUGUUGGGUUAAGUCCCGCAACGAGCGCAACCCUUAUUAUCAGUUGCCAGCAUUAAGUUGGGCACUCUGGUGAGACUGCCGGUGACAAACCGGAGGAAGGUGGGGAUGACGUCAAAUCAUCAUGCCCCUUAUGACCUGGGCUACACACGUGCUACAAUGGAUGGUACAACGAGUUGCGAACUCGCGAGAGUAAGCUAAUCUCUUAAAGCCAUUCUCAGUUCGGAUUGUAGGCUGCAACUCGCCUACAUGAAGUCGGAAUCGCUAGUAAUCGCGGAUCAGCAUGCCGCGGUGAAUACGUUCCCGGGCCUUGUACACACCGCCCGUCACACCAUGAGAGUUUGUAACACCCAAAGUCGGUGGGGUAACCUUUUAGGAACCAGCCGCCUAAGGUGGGACAGAUGAUUAGGGUG
rnacentral:rRNA from 1 species